UACGGGGGGGGCAAGCGUUGUUCGGAAUUACUGGGCGUAAAGGGUUCGUAGGUGGCCCGCUAAGUCAGACGUGAAAUCCCUCAGCUCAACUGGGGAACUGCGUCUGAGACCGGCAGGCUUGAGUGCAGGAGAGGAACGCGGAAUUCCAGGUGUAGCGGUGAAAUGCGUAGAUAUCUGGAGGAACACCGGUGGCGAAGGCGGCGUUCUGGACUGUUACUGACACUGAGGAACGAAAGCCAGGGGAGCAAACGGG
rnacentral:rRNA from 1 species